rnacentral:rRNA from 1 species
CGUAGGGUGCAAGCGUUGUCCGGAAUUAUUGGGCGUAAAGAGCUCGUAGGCGGUCUGUCGCGUCGGCUGUGAAAACUCGGGGCUCAACUCCGAGCUUGCAGUCGAUACGGGCAGGCUAGAGUUCGGCAGGGGAGACUGGAAUUCCUGGUGUAGCGGUGAAAUGCGCAGAUAUCAGGAGGAACACCGGUGGCGAAGGCGGGUCUCUGGGCCGAUACUGACGCGGAGGAGCGAAAGCGUGGGGAGCGAACAGGAUUAGAUACCCUGGUAGUCCACGCCGUAAACGUUGGGCGCUAGGUGUGGGAUCCCUUCCACGGGUUCCGUGCCGCAGCUAACGCAUUAAGCGCCCCGCCUGGGGAGUACGGCCGCAAGGCUA